GAUGAACGCUGGCGGCGUGCCUAAUACAUGCAAGUCGAGCGAACAGACGAGGAGCUUGCUCCUCUGACGUUAGCGGCGGACGGGUGAGUAACACGUGGAUAACCUACCUCUAAGACUGGGAUAACUUCGGGAAACCGGAGCUAAUACUGGAUAAUAUAUUGAACCGCAUGGUUCAAUAGUGAAUGACGGUUUUGCUGUCACUUAUAGAUGGAUCCGCGCCGCAUUAGCUAGUUGGUAAGGUAACGGCUUACCAAGGCAACGAUGCGUAGCCGACCUGAGAGGGUGAUCGGCCACACUGGAACUGAGACACGGUCCAGACUCCUACGGGAGGCAGCAGUAGGGAAUAUUCCGCAAUGGGCGAAAGCCUGACGGAGCAACGCCGCGUGAGUGAUGAAGGUCUUCGGAUCGUAAAACUCUGUUAUUAGGGAAGAACAAAUGUGUAAGUAACUAUGCACGUCUUGACGGUACCUAAUCAGAAAGCCACGGCUAACUACGUG
rnacentral:rRNA from 1 species